UACAGAGGGUGCGAGCGUUGUUCGGAAUUAUUGGGCGUAAAGCGCUUGUAGGCGGCCUGUCAAGUCGCGUGUGAAAUCCCCUGGCUUAACCAGGGAAGUGCGCGCGAAACUGAAGGGCUUGAGUGCCGGAGAGGGUCGCGGAAUUCCCGGUGUAGAGGUGAAAUUCGUAGAUAUCGGGAGGAACACCAGUGGCGAAGGCGGCAACCUGGACGGACACUGACGCUGAGACGCGAAAGCGUGGGGAGCAAACAGG
rnacentral:rRNA from 1 species